AUGCAACGCCACGGCGCCGCCUGCAGCAUUGCGUGCCACCACGGCGCCGGCGUGUUCGUGCUGCCGCAGGUCUACGAUCCUCGCGCCACGCAUGGGCAGUACGACUUGGCCUCGCUGUCGGACAUGGUGGCUCCAUACACUGACUACAAUGGCGGCAACCCCGCCGUCGGAUGGGCGCCUCCGGAGGUGGACUCGGUGGACGAUGACGGUCGGGCGGCGCGCCGCGGCAACGGCGACGAGAGGAAGACGAGGCGGCUGGCGUCGAACCGCGAGUCGGCAAGGCGGUCGCGGGUGAGGAAGCAGAGGCGGCUGGACGAGCUGUCGUCGCGGGCGGCGCGGCUCCGGGCGGCCAACCAGCGGCUCCUCGUGGAGCUCAACCGCGUGCUCGCCGAGCACGGCCGCGUGGCCCGCGAGAGCGCCCGGCUCCGGGAGGAGGCCUCCGAGCUGCGGGGGAAGCUCGACGGGAUGGGGGUGGACGAGGCCGAUGAUGUUGCUCCGCAGAGCACAAAGGGCACCGGCAAUACGGCUUAG
rnacentral:rRNA from 1 species